rnacentral:rRNA from 1 species
CUACGGAGGAUCCGAGCGUUAUCCGGAUUUAUUGGGUUUAAAGGGUGCGCAGGCGGGAGAUUAAGUCGGCGGUGAAAUUUUGCAGCUCAACUGUAAAAGUGCCUUCGAAACUGGUUUCCUUGAGUGUAGAUGAAGUAGGCGGGAUUUGUGGUGUAGCGGUGAAAUGCAUAGAUAUCACGAGGAACUCCGAUUGCGCAGGCAGCUUACUAAACUACUACUGACGCUCAGGCACGAAGGCGUGGGGAUCAAACAGGAUUAGAUACCCUGGUAGUCCACGCAGUAAACGAUGAUUACUAGCUGUUUGCGAUACAAUGUAAGCGGCUGAGCGAAAGCGUUAAGUAAUCCACCUGGGGAGUACGUUCGCAAGAAUGAAACUCAAAGGAAUUGACGGGG